UGCCAGCCGCCGCGGUAAUACGGAGGGUGCAAGCGUUGUCCGGAUUUAUUGGGUUUAAAGGGUACGUAGGCGGCUUAUUAAGUCAGUGGUGAAAGUUUGCAGCUUAACUGUAAAAGUGCCAUUGAUACUGGUAAGCUUGAGUACUGUAGAGGUGGGCGGAAUUCCGCAUGUAGCGGUGAAAUGCAUAGAUAUGCGGAGGAACACCGAUCGCGAAGACAGCUUACUAAGCUAAUAUUGACGCUGAGGUACGAAAGCGUGGGGAGCGAACAGGAUUAGAUA
rnacentral:rRNA from 1 species